rnacentral:misc_RNA from 1 species
AAGUCGUAACAAGGUUUCCGUAGGUGAACCUGCGGAAGGAUCAUUAACACGUAUCCACACGUAUUCCACCCUCAUGUGAAUUUGUUUUCAACCCCCCCUUCUGACUCGUCUCAGCAGCGAGUUUUAUUGUUUCACCACAAAAACAAACCCUUCUCACCUCUAUAACUUUUGCUAGUUGACUUUUUAAUCUGUUGGCGCUCUCACUUAAUUGCGAGGCUCAGCACGUUUGAUCUAAUUGAACGUAAAAUAAUACAACUCUUAGCAAUGGAUAUCUUGGUUCUC